UUCCGUAGGUCAACCUGCGGAAGGAUCAUUA
rnacentral:ncRNA from 2 species